rnacentral:lncRNA from 10 species
AGGCAUUGCUCUGGUCAGCCUGUUGUUUGGGCCCCCUUGGCAGGGCUCUCCCCUGAAUCUUCCCCCUCUUGACUCCCCAUCACCACAGCACGUCCAGCUUUGGGUACAAGGCCAGUAAAUGGGGAAGGGGGUCAGAUGACAUAAAGAGCCCUUUCCUGUCCCAUUGAAAUAUAUUUGGAUAACAGAUGGCAUUUCCCCCUGUGUCUUGCCCAGGGCCCAGAGCCUCCACUUGCUAGAGGCAGACAGAGGAUGGAGAGCCCCUUCAUUAGUGGGAGGACAUCACAGGUGGGCAAGAAACCACAAGCUUGCACUGAGGCCCAGCCUUGAAAUAGCAGCACCUGCCGGCACCUGUGGUCUGGGGACAGGGUCACAGGAUGGAGGGGCCUCCUAAGCCUUUUAUCUCUAUGUACUAAGUACAACCCAUUUUCCCACCUCACAGAGCCAGAUCAGCCUCUGUGAGGUCCUGGUGGCAAAAGGAGAAGUGCCUGCCCGCCUGCCCGCGGUGGGGUGCUUGUGCUUGCAUUCCUGGGAAGGUGUUGGUUAGCUCUGCAAUAGGUCCCUCUGACCAGCUCACCCUCUACCUGCAAACCUCAGACCCAGCUUCAAAGAAGAUCCAAGCACCGAUGGGACCCUCUGGUAGCUUGACACAUGGGCGGACCCAGAUUCCUCUCUCAUCUGAUCUGUCAUGGAGGGCUCCCCAGUUAAAAGUCCUUAAAAACACAAAUCUGAUUGACAAGUUGCCUGCCUGUCUGUCUUCAGCCAGUCUACCUGCUGCUGCCUUCAGGUUUCCUCCCAGCGUAGCUUGGACUUGUCUUGGAUUGCCUGAUAUGGCAGGUGCACUGCUCUCACACCAGCCAAUCAUCUGCUGCUACAGAGCCUAAAAUGAACCAGGAGAGCAUAGGAGCUCGGUCAGAUCACCAGCAGCCCAUGGGGUUUGUCCUCUGAUUUUCUACCACCUCAGCCUCCACCGUCACU